CCGACGGUGAGGGAUGAAGGCUGGGGGCGCAAACCGGAUUAGGUACCCGGGUAGUCCCAGCAGUAAACGAUGCCAGCUAUGUGUUGCUGGAACCAUGGGUUCCAGCAGUGCCGAAGGGAAGCCGUGAAGCUGGCCACCUGGGAAGUACGGUCGCAAGGCUGAAGCUUAAAGGAAUUGGCGGGGGAGUACCACAACCGGUGGAGCCUGCGGUUUAAUUGGAUACAACGCCGGGAAUCUUACCGGAGGGGACAGCAGUAUGAAGGCCAGGCUAAAGACCUUGCCAGAUCAGCUGAGAGGAGGUGCAUGGCCGUCGCCAGUUCGUACCGUGAGGCAUCCUGUUUAGUCAGGCAACGAUCGAGACCCGCAGUCUUAUUUGCCAGCAUGCCCUUUGGGGUGUAUGGGUACAAUAAGACGACCGCCAGCGCUAAGCUGGAGGAAGGAGCGGGCUACGGUAGGUCAGCAUGCCCCGAAUCCUCCGGGAUACACGCGGGCUACAAUGGUCAGGACGAAAGGUACCGACCUCGAAAGAGUGAGGUAAUCCACANACCUGAUCUCAGUCCGGAUCGAAGGCUGCAACUCGCCUUCGUGAAGAUGGAAUCGGUAGUAAUCGUGACUCAACCUGUCACGGUGAAUAUGUCCCUGCUCUUGCAACACACCGCCC
rnacentral:rRNA from 1 species